AGGUGGGAGUAUCUCUUGAGUCUGGGAGGUGGAGGUUGCAGUGAGCUGAGAUCACGCCACUGCACUCCAGCCUGGGC
rnacentral:miRNA from 1 species